GGCCGGUUAGCUCAGCAGGUUAGAGCGUGGUGCUAAUAACGCCAAGGUCGCGGGUUCGAUCCCCAUACUGGCCA
rfam:Danio rerio unplaced genomic contig NA5, GRCz11 reference primary assembly.